rnacentral:rRNA from 1 species
GGAGGAUUUAGCAGUAAAUUAAGAAUAGAGUGCUUAAUUGAACGAGGCCAUAAAGCGCGCACACACCGCCCGUCACUCCCCUCAAAUAUAUUUAAGGAGCAUCUUAACUAAACACCCCAAUAUCUAUAUAGAGGGGAUAAGUCGUAACAUGGUAAGUGUACUGGAAGGUGCACUUGGAUAAAU